rnacentral:rRNA from 1 species
UACAGAGGUGCCGAGCGUUAGGCGGAAUCACUGGGCUUAAAGCGUGUGUAGGCGGAUUUUUAAGUACCUUGUGAAAUCCCAUGGCUUAACCAUGGAACUGCUGGGUAUACUGGAUAUCUUGAGCCAACUAGGGGCUACCGGAACAAAUGGUGGAGCGGUGAAAUGCGUAGAUAUCAUUUGGAACGCCAACGGUGAAAACAGCUGGCUGGGGGUGUGCUGACGCUGAGACACGAAAGCCAGGGGAGCGAACGGG